GGAAUAGCUCAGUCGGUAGAGCAUGCGACUCUUGAUCUCAGGAUUGUGGGUUUGAACCCCACAUCA